UGUUUGGGUUAAGUCCCGCAACGAGCGCAACCCUCGUUCCAUGUUGCCAGCACGUAGUGGUGGGGACUCAUGGGAGACUGCCGGGGUCAACUCGGAGGAAGGUGGGGACGACGUCAAAUCAUCAUGCCCCUUAUGUCUUGGGCUUCACGCAUGCUACAAUGGCCGGUACAAUGGGUUGCGAUACUGUGAGGUGGAGCUAAUCCCAAAAAGCCGGUCUCAGUUCGGAUUGGGGUCUGCAACUCGACCCCAUGAAGUCGGAGUCGCUAGUAAUCGCAGAUCAGCAACGCUGCGGUGAAUACGUUCCCGGGCCUUGUACACACCGCCCGUCAAGUCACGAAAGUUGGUAACACCCGAAGCCGGUGGCCCAACCCCUUGUGG
rnacentral:rRNA from 1 species